rnacentral:rRNA from 1 species
UACGUAGGGGGCAAGCGUUGUCCGGAAUUAUUGGGCGUAAAGCGCGCGCAGGCGGCUAUUUAAGUCUGGUGUUUAAACCUUGGGCUCAACCUGGGGUCGCACUGGAAACUGGAUGGCUUGAGUGCAGGAGAGGACGCGGAAUUCCAGGUGUAGCGGUGAAAUGCGUAGAUAUCUGGAGGAACACCGGUGGCGAAGGCGGCGUUCUGGACUGUAACUGACACUGAUGAACGAAAGCCAGGGGAGCAAACGGGA